AGUGAACGCUGGCGGCAGGCCUAACACAUGCAAGUCGAGCGGCAGCGCGGGGGCAACCCUGGCGGCGAGCGGCGGACGGGUGAGGAAUUCGUCGGAAUCUGCCUUUUUGUGGGGGAUAACGUAGGGAAACAUACGCUAAUACCGCAUACGUCCUACGGGGGAAAGUGGGGGACCGCAAGGCCUCACGCAGAAAGAUGAGCCGACGACCGAUUAGCUAGUUGGUGGGGUAAAGGCCCACCAAGGCGACGAUCGGUAGCUGGUCUGAGAGGAUGAUCAGCCACACUGGGACUGAGACACGGCCCAGACUCCUACGGGAGGCAGCAGUGGGGAAUAUUGGACAAUGGGCGCAAGCCUGAUCCAGCCAUGCCGCGUGGGUGAAGAAGGCCUUCGGGUUGUAAAGCACUUUUGUCCGGAAAGAAAACCCUUGGGCUAAUACCUUCGGGGGAUGACGGUACCGGAAGAAUAAGCACCGGCUAACUUCGUG
rnacentral:rRNA from 1 species